UACGUAGGGUGCAAGCGUUGUCCGGAAUCAUUGGGCGUAAAGCGCACGUAGGCGGCUGUUCAAGUCAGAGGUGAAAGCCCGGAGCUCAACUCCGGAACUGCCUUUGAAACUAGACAGCUUGAAUCCAGGAGAGGUGAGUGGAAUUCCGAGUGUAGAGGUGAAAUUCGUAGAUAUUCGGAAGAACACCAGUGGCGAAGGCGGCUCACUGGACUGGUAUUGACGCUGAGGUGCGAAAGCGUGGGGAGCAAACAGG
rnacentral:rRNA from 1 species